UGGUUCUGGCAUCGAUGAAGAACGCAGCGAAAUGCGAUAAGUAAUGUGAAUUGCAGAAUUCAGUGAAUCAUCGAAUCUUUGAACGCACAUUGCGCCCAUUAGUAUUCUAGUGGGCAUGCCUGUUCGAGCGUCAUUUCAACCCUUAAGCCUCUGUUGCUUAGCGUUGGGAGCCUACAGCACCUGUAGCUCCUCAAAGUUAGUGGCGGAGUCGGUUCACACUCUAGACGUAGUAAUUCUUUCUCGCCUAUUAGUUGGAACUGGUCUCCCGCCGUAAAAACCCCUAUUUUAAAGGUUGACCUCGGAUCAGGUAGGAAUACCCGCUGA
rnacentral:misc_RNA from 1 species